rnacentral:rRNA from 1 species
GACAGAGGGUGCAAACGUUGUUCGGAAUUACUGGGCGUAAAGCGCGUGUAGGCUGCUCGGAAAGUCGGAUGUGAAAGCCCUGGGCUCAACCUAGGAAGUGCAUUCGAAACUUCUGAGCUGGAGUGCUGGAGAGGAAGGCGGAAUUCUCGGUGUAGAGGUGAAAUUCGUAGAUAUCGAGAGGAACACCGGUGGCGAAGGCGGCCUUCUGGACAGUAACUGACGCUGAGACGCGAAAGCGUGGGGAGCGAACAGG